GAUGAACGCUGGCGGCGUGCCUAAUACAUGCAAGUCGAGCGAACAGAUGAGGAGCUUGCUCCUCUGACGUUAGCGGCGGACGGGUGAGUAACACGUGGAUAACCUACCUAUAAUGCUGGGAUAACUUCGGGAAACCGGAGCUAAUACCGGAUAAUAUCUUGAACCGCAUGGUUCAAUAGUUAGAUACGGUUUUUCUGUCACUUAUAGAUGGAUCCGCGCCGCAUUAGCUAGUUGGUAAGGUAACGGCUUACCAAGGCAACGAUGCGUAGCCGACCUGAGAGGGUGAUCGGCCACACUGGAACUGAGACACGGUCCAGACUCCUACGGGAGGCAGCAGUAGGGAAUCUUCCGCAAUGGGCGAAAGCCUGACGGAGCAACGCCGCGUGAGUGAUGAAGGUCUUCGGAUCGUAAAACUCUGUUAUUAGGGAAGAACAAAUGUGUAAGUAACUAUGCACGUCUUGACGGUACCUAAUCAGAAAGCCACGGCUAACUACGUG
rnacentral:rRNA from 1 species